GGCACUGCCUAAGACAUGCAAGUCGAACGAGGUGGCCCAUAGAAGACGGAGUGCUUGCACAAAGUUGGAAAUGGAUUACCAUCUAGUGGCAGACGGGUGAGUAACACGUGGGUGACCUACCUUCAAGUUGGGGAUAACAUUUGGAAACGAAUGCUAAUACCGAAUAAGAUGUAGUUGUCGAGACUACAUAGAAAGGAGCUUUUAAAGCUUCGCUUAAAGAUGGGCCUGCGGCGUAUUAACUAGUUGGUGAGGUAAUGGCUCACCAAGGUGACGAUGCGUAGCCGAACUGAGAGGUUGAACGGCCACAUUGGGACUGAGACACGGCCCAAACUCCUACGGGAGACAGCAGUUAGGAAUAUUCGUCAAUGGGGGGAACCCUGAACGAGCAAUGCCGCGUGAGUGAAGAAGGUCCUAUGGAUUGUAAAACUCUGUUGUAUGUGAAGAAUGACUAUAUUAGGAAAUGAAUAUAGAGUGACGGUAGCAUACCAGAAAGCCCCGGCUAACUACGUGCCAGCAGCCGCGGUAA
rnacentral:rRNA from 1 species